UAGACGUUUGACGUCCUCGGACGUCAGGACGAACGCUGGCGGCGUGCUACACAUGCAAGUCGACGGAAGGCCCUGCUUGUCAGGUGCUCGAGUGGCGAACGGGUGAGUAACACGUGGGUGAUCUGCCUGCACUUCGGGAUAGCCUGGGAAACUGGUCUAAUACCGGAUGGAGCCAUUUUUAGUGUGAUGGUUGGAAAGUUUUUUCGGUGUAGGAUGAGCUCGCGGCCUAUCAGCUUGUUGGUGGGGUAAUGGCCUACCAAGGCGGCGACGGGUAGCCGGCCUGAAAGGGUGGACGGCCACAUUGGGACUGAGAUACGGCCCAGACUCCUACGGGAGGCAGCAGUGGGGAAUAUUGCACAAUGGGCGCAAGCCUGAUGCAGCGACGCCGCGUGGGGGAUGACGGCCUUCGGGUUGUAAACUCCUUUCGCUAGGGACGAAGCUUUUUGUGACGGUACCUAGAUAAGAAGCACCGGCUAACUACGUG
rnacentral:rRNA from 1 species